rnacentral:rRNA from 1 species
AGAGUUUGAUCCUGGCUCAGGACGAACGCUGGCGGCGUGCUUAACACAUGCAAGUCGAACGAUGAUGCUUGGUGCUUGCACUGGGUGGAUUAGUGGCGAACGGGUGAGUAAUACGUGAGUAACCUGCCCCUGUCUUUGGGAUAAGCCUGGGAAACUGGGUCUAAUACCGGAUAGGACCCUCCUUUAGUGUGGGGGGUGGAAAGAUUUUUCGGUGUGGGAUGAGCCCGCGGCCUAUCAGCUUGUUGGUGGGGUAAUGGCCUACCAAGGCGUCGACGGGUAGCCGGCCUGAGAGGGUGGACGGCCACAUUGGGACUGAGAUACGGCCCAGACUCCUACGGGAGGCAGCAGUGGGGAAUAUUGCACAAUGGGCGGAAGCCUGAUGCAGCGACGCCGCGUGGGGGAUGACGGCCUUCGGGUUGUAAACCUCUUUCGACAGGGACGAAGCCUUGUAGGUGACGGUACCUGUAUAAGAAGCACCGGCUAACUACGUGCCAGCAGCCGCGGUAAUACGUAGGGUGCGAGCGUUGUCCGGAAUUACUGGGCGUAAAGAGCUCGUAGGUGGUUUGUCGCGUCGCCUGUGAAAUCCGGGGCUUACCUCGGGCGUGCGGGCGAUACGGGCAUACUUGAGUGCUGUAGGGGAGACUGGAAUUCCCGGUGGACGGGUGAAAUGGCCCAAAAUCCAGGAGGAACCCCGAUGG